rnacentral:rRNA from 1 species
AUUGAACGCUGGCGGCAGGCCUAACACAUGCAAGUCGAACGCGUGGCGGACGGGUGAGUAAUGUCUGGGAAACUUCCCGAUGGAGGGGGAUAACUACUUGAACCGGUAGCUAAUACCGCAUACCAUCGGAUGUGCCCAUAUGGGCUUAGCUAGUAGGUGGGGUAACGGCUCACCUAGGCGACGAUCCCUAGCUGGUCUGAGAGGAUGACCAGCCACACUGGAACUGAGACACGGUCCAGACUCCUACGGGAGGCAGCAGUGGGGAAUAUUGAAAAAUGGGCGCAAGCCUGAUGCAGCCAUGCCGAGGGUAUGAAGAAGGCCUUCGGGUUGUAAAGUACUUUCAGCGAGGAGGCGUGACUCGCAGAAGAAGCACCGGCUAACUCCGGGCCAGCAGCCGAGGUAAUUC